UAGAUAUUAUAUUUUAGGAUAACCAAUGAAAAUAAGUCUCUCAACCUUAGAUAAUAUGUACACUUGUACAAAUAGAUUUUUAUACGUGUGUUUGUUUUUAUUCCCAGAUUAUUGUGAAAUGGCUACAGUGAAACUCAGAAUCAUCCUCGGGGAUAAACGAUUCCCAGAGACUGACCCUGCAAGAUGGGCUUCCAGAGACUGUUGGUGAACUUGUUCAGAACAUAAAGAGGGGUAGAGGAGCACUUCAGGCUGCAAUUUAUGGAUACGGAGUUUGGCAGUGAAUUUACCAACUUGACUUCAAUGUCAGAGAUCCAGGACAAAAGUACCUUAAAACUUGUCUUUGAUUCAGCUGCCUCUGUCCUGCCUGGUGGUUCACCCCCUCCACCCUACUCCACUCCUGCCACAUCAGGGUCUGGUAAUGAGUCAUCACUUUCAUCUGGUAGCUUGUGUGAUAUUUACAGAUAUUUUGUCUUCACCUGAGUCCAUCCCUUCAAGAUCCUCUGGAUGGCCUGUUGUUUUUUUUCUUCCUCGAUUCCCAUAUGAUUGUGAGCUGCAGCUGGACAGAGCCAAUACUGCAUUCAAAGAGAGCGGAACUUUAUUGAAUCCAGACAUGAGACUUAAAACUGCCAUUCUUGACAGUUUAGCUGAAGAAAUUGUUAAAUACAAAGUGUACCCCUCAGACAAUGAGGUUGAAGAGGUUGCCGAAGCCCUUGUGUCAUCACAUCCAUGUUUGAAAGAGCCAGGCUCUGCCACUGGAUAUGGUGGCUGGAAGGUGAGCUUAAAGUACAAACUUGCCAACUACAGGAGGAAGCUCAAGCGGCUUGGAUGUCCAGAGGUGGAACUGAAUUCCCUGACAAAUAAACCUGUAGACAAAUGCACUCCUGCUUAUGGUGUAAAGAAGCCCAGAAGAGCCCAAGUAAAUUACUGCCCCACCUACCCAUCUGGUGAAUCUGCAGAGACACUUGAAAAGAUAAGAGAGAACCUGCUUUUAGACGUAAGGAAAAGGAACAAUGAGGACACACUGGCAGCAAUGAUGGAGAAGACCUUUGCACACAGAAGGCAAGAAGUUAUUCGUGAUGCACCCUUAAUUGCGGAUUACAAAACCAGAUGGCCAGCUCUCUUCUGUGUACGUGAGCUAACUGCUGAAUUCAAGAGGAUUACAACCGUCAGUUUGCUGUCCAAGUUCUUCUCCAAGCUGGAUGCUCACUCUUCGAAGUUGAUGAGGGUGUCUGGCAAGAAAGGUGGCGUUCAAGGAUGAAAAAUUAGGAGCAUCAUGUUACCCAUCACCCAGACAGUCCAGGCACAUUGGAAAUCUUGUACGGGUUCUCCGAGUCAGUUGUAGAAGUGAGUAUGUCCUAAAUACUCAGACUGAUGCCAUUGAUGUCAGAAGAGAGUGCAUCAUCAAAGCCCUGUGUGUGUACCUGAAUGAAGAGCCCAAGAACCUUGUGAAAGAAUACAUGAACACGGAUGGUCAAAGCAUUGAAGCUGCAAUCACGGAGACUACAUUUGGAAUCUUUGUCAUUCGCAAGGAAGGCGAGGAGCCAGAUGUUGGACCGGAAGAUCUGCACCAGAGGGAGAGGAGAUGCUGAC